rnacentral:rRNA from 1 species
CGGCGAAAGCCGGAUUAAUAUCCCAUACGCUCUACGGAGGAAAAGGUGGGAUCUUAGGCCCUCCCGCUACAGGGGCGGCCGAUGGCAGAUUAGCUAGUUGGUGGGGUAAAGGCCUACCAAGGCGACGAUCUGUAGCUGGUCUGAGAGGACGACCAGCCACACUGGGACUGAGACACGGCCCAGACCCCUACGGGAGGCAGCAGUGGGGAAUUUUGGACAAUGGGGGCAACCCUGACCCAGCAAUGCCGCGUGUGUGAAGAAGGCCHMCGGGUUGUAAAGCACUUHUGUCCGGAAAGAAAUCCUCUGGGUUAAUACCCCGGGGGGAUGACGGUACCGGAAGAAUAAGCACCGGCUAACUACGUGCCAGCAGCCGCGGUAAUACGUAGGGUGCAAGCGUUAAUCGGAAUUACUGGGCGUAAAGCGUGCGCAGGCGGUCCGCUAAGACAGAUGUGAAAUCCCCGGGCUUAACCUGGGAACUGCAUUUGUGACUGGCGGGCUAGAGUAUGGCAGAGGGGGGUAGAAUUCCACGUGUAGCAGUGAAAUGCGUAGAGAUGUGGAGGAAUACCGAUGGCGAAGGCAGCCCCCUGGGCCAAUACUGACGCUCAUGCACGAAAGCGGUGGGGAGCAAACAGGAUMUAGAUACCCVUGGUAGUCCACGGCCCAUAAACAGAUGUCAACAUAGUUGUCAGGGUCUYVAUUGACUUGGUAACA